rnacentral:rRNA from 1 species
UACGGGGGGGGCAAGCGUUGUUCGGAAUUACUGGGCGUAAAGGGUUCGUAGGUGGCUGGCUAAGUCAGACGUGAAAUCCCUCAGCUUAACUGGGGAACUGCGUCUGAGACUGGUCAGCUUGAGUGCAGGAGAGGAACGCGGAAUUCCAGGUGUAGCGGUGAAAUGCGUAGAUAUCUGGAGGAACACCGGUGGCGAAGGCGGCGUUCUGGACUGUAACUGACACUGAGGAACGAGAGCCAGGGGAGCAAACGGG